GACGAACGCUGGCGGCGUGCCUAAUACAUGCAAGUAGAACGCACAGUUUAUACCGUAGCUUGCUACACCAUAGACUGUGAGUUGCGAACGGGUGAGUAACGCGUAGGUAACCUGCCUGGUAGCGGGGGAUAACUAUUGGAAACGAUAGCUAAUACCGCAUAAUAUUAAUUAUUGCAUGAUAAUUGAUUGAAAGAUGCAACUGCAUCACUACCAGAUGGACCUGCGUUGUAUUAGCUAGUAGGUGAGGUAACGGCUCACCUAGGCGACGAUACAUAGCCGACCUGAGAGGGUGGUCGGCCACACUGGGACUGAGACACGGCCCAGACUCCUACGGGAGGCAGCAGGAGGGAAUCUUCGGAAAUGGACGAAAGUCUGACCGAGCAACGCCGGGUGAGGGAAGAAGGGUCUCGGAUCGGAAAGCUCUGUUGUAAGAGAAGAACGGGUGUGAGAGUGGAAAGUUCACACUGUGACGGUAUCUUAACAGAAAGGGACGGCUAACUACGUG
rnacentral:rRNA from 1 species